rnacentral:rRNA from 1 species
UGCUCGGUGACGAUGGCGGAGAGGUCACACCCGUUCCCAUCCCGAACACGGAAGUUAAGCUCUCCAGCGCCGAUGGUAGUUGGCGGGACACCGCCUGCGAGAGUAGGACGUUGCCGGGC